rnacentral:lncRNA from 1 species
ACUCUUGGAAGUUAAACAAAAUGUAGUCAAAUAUACAUAUAUAUGUAUCCUCUGUUUGUGUGUGUGGUCAUUCACAUAACUGACCAUGUACAAUGAACAAAUACUUAGAAUAUCUACCAAUAUAUUCUAAACAGCAAAUUAUAAAACCUCCCUUGAGAUUUUUAUUUAUUACAGUUAUAUUCAAUAGAAUGUAAAAGCUACUUUUACAUCGAGUUAAAUUAAUGCCAAAAUUAUUUAUCUUAUGUAAAAAAUCAAAAUUACCUUCAAAUGGG